GUGGUCCUCGUGGUCCAAUCGGACCCGCUGGCAUGCCUGGCGAACCUGGUGGACCUGGACCCAUGGGUCAGAUGGGUUUACCUGGUCCAAAUGGAAAGAAUGGAGAUGAUGGUCAGGAUGGAAAAACUGGUCGCCCUGGUGAGCGUGGUCCUCAAGGUCGUAUGG